rnacentral:rRNA from 1 species
GACGAACGCUGGCGGCGUGCUUAACACAUGCAAGUCGAACGAUGAUGCUGGAGCUUGCUCCAGUUGAUUAGUGGCGAACGGGUGAGUAACACGUGAGCAAUCUGCCCUUGACUCUGGGAUAACUGCGGGAAACUGUAGCUAAUACCGGAUACUUUCACCGGAAGGCAUCUUCUGGUGAUGAAAGAAUUUCGGUCAGGGAUGAGCUCGCGGCCUAUCAGCUUGUUGGUGAGGUAACGGCUCACCAAGGCGACGACGGGUAGCCGGCCUGAGAGGGUGGCCGGCCACACUGGGACUGAGACACAGCCCAGACGCCUACGGGGGGCAGCAGUGGGGAAUAUUGCACAAUGGGCGCAAGCCUGAUGCAGCAACGCCGCGUGAGGGAUGAAGGCCUUCGGGUUGUAAACCUCUUUUAGCAGGGAAGAAGCGAAAGUGACGGUACCUGCAGAAAAAGCACCGGCUAACUACGUGCCAGCAGCCGCAGUAA